UAUAGCUUAGUGGCACAAGCUCCUGCCUGGCAAGCAUGAGGUCAGGAGUUCAAAUCCCCAUA
rnacentral:tRNA from 1 species